rnacentral:rRNA from 1 species
AUUGAACGCUGGCGGCAGGCUUAACACAUGCAAGUCGAGCGGAGCGAGGGUGCUUGCACCUUAGCUUAGCGGCGGACGGGUGAGUAAUGCUUAGGAAUCUGCCUAUUAGUGGGGGACAACAUUCCGAAAGGAAUGCUAAUACCGCAUACGCCCUACGGGGGAAAGCAGGGGAUCUUCGGACCUUGCGCUAAUAGAUGAGCCUAAGUCGGAUUAGCUAGUUGGUGGGGUAAAGGCCUAACAAGGCGACGAUCUGUAGCGGGUCUGAGAGGAUGAGCCGCCACACUGGGACUGAGACACGGCCCAGACUCCUACGGGAGGCAACAGUGGGGAAUAUUGGACAAUGGGCGGAAGCCUGAUCCAGCCAUGCCGCGUGUGUGAAGAAGGCCUUUUGGUUGUAAAGCACUUUAAGCGAGGAGGAGGCUACUUAGAUUAAUACUCUGGGAUAGUGGACGUUACUCGCAGAAUAAGCACCGGCUAACUCUGUGCCAGCAGCCGCGGUAC